rnacentral:rRNA from 1 species
GGGCCCGCACAAGCGGUGGAGCAUGUGGUUUAAUUCGACGCAACGCGCAGAACCUUACCCAGACUUGACAUCCAUCAAAGUUGGCCCAAAAGUCGACGUGCCCGCAAGGGAAUGGUGAGACAGGUGCUGCAUGGCUGUCGUCAGCUCGUGUCGUGAGAUGUUGGGUUAAGUCCCGCAACGAGCGCAACCCUCGCCUUUAGUUGCUCCGCAAGGAGAUCUCUAGAGGGACCGCCAGUGAUAAGCUGGAGGAAGGUGGGGAUGACGUCAAGUCCUCAUGGCCUUUAUGUCUGGGGCUACACACGUGCUACAAUGGCGAGUACAAAGCGUUGCCAACCUGCGAAGGGGAGCUAAUCGCAUAAAACUCGUCUCAGUUCGGAUCGGAGUCUGCAACUCGGCUCCGUGAAGUCGGAAUCGCUAGUAAUCGCAGAUCAGCACGCUGCGGUGAAUACGUUCCCGGGCCUUGUACACACCGCCCGUCACACCAUGGGAGUCAAUUGCUCCAGAAGUCACCACACCACAGUGGUGCCCAAGGAGUGAUUGGUAACUGGGGUGAAGUCGUAACAAGGUAGCCGUAGGGGAACCUGCGGCU